rnacentral:rRNA from 1 species
AGCGUACACGGUGGAUGCCCUGGCAGUCAGAGGCGAUGAAGGACGUGCUAAUCUGCGAUAAGCGUCGGUAAGGUGAUAUGAACCGUUAUAACCGGCGAUUUCCGAAUGGGGAAACCCAGUGUGUUUCGACACACUAUCAUUAACUGAAUCCAUAGGUUAAUGAGGCGAACCGGGGGAACUGAAACAUCUAAGUACCCCGAGGAAAAGAAAUCAACCGAGAUUCCCCCAGUAGCGGCGAGCGAACGGGGAGCAGCCCAGAGUCUGAAUCAGUGUGUGUGUUAGUGGAAGCGUCUGGAAAGACGCGCGAUACAGGGUGACAGCCCCGUACACAAAAAUGCACAUGCUGUGAGCUCGAUGAGUAGGGCGGGACACGUGGUAUCCUGUCUGAAUAUGGGGGGACCAUCCUCCAAGGCUAAAUACUCCUGACUGACCGAUAGUGAACCAGUACCGUGAGGGAAAGGCGAAAAGAACCCCGGCGAGGGGAGUGAAAAAGAACCUGAAACCGUGUACGUACAAGCAGUGGGAGCCUCUUUAUGGGGUGACUGCGUACCUUUUGUAUAAUGGGUCAGCGACUUAUAUUCUGUAGCAAGGUUAACCGAAUAGGGGAGCCGAAGGGAAACCGAGUCUUAACUGGGCGUUAAGUUGCAGGGUAUAGACCCGAAACCCGGUGAUCUAGCCAUGGGCAGGUUGAAGGUUGGGUAACACUAACUGGAGGACCGAACCGACUAAUGUUGAAAAAUUAGCGGAUGACUUGUGGCUGGGGGUGAAAGGCCAAUCAAACCGGGAGAUAGCUGGUUCUCCCCGAAAGCUAUUUAGGUAGCGCCUCGUGAACUCAUCUCCGGGGGUAGAGCACUGUUUCGGCAAGGGGGUCAUCCCGACUUACCAACCCGAUGCAAACUGCGAAUACCGGAGAAUGUUAUCACGGGAGACACACGGCGGGUGCUAACGUCCGUCGUGAAGAGGGAAACAACCCAGACCGCCAGCUAAGGUCCCAAAGUCAUGGUUAAGUGGGAAACGAUGUGGGAAGGCCCAGACAGCCAGGAUGUUGGCUUAGAAGCAGCCAUCAUUUAAAGAAAGCGUAAUAGCUCACUGGUCGAGUCGGCCUGCGCGGAAGAUGUAACGGGGCUAAACCAUGCACCGAAGCUGCGGCAGCGACGCUUAUGCGUUGUUGGGUAGGGGAGCGUUCUGUAAGCCUGUGAAGGUGUGCUGUGAGGCAUGCUGGAGGUAUCAGAAGUGCGAAUGCUGACAUAAGUAACGAUAAAGCGGGUGAAAAGCCCGCUCGCCGGAAGACCAAGGGUUCCUGUCCAACGUUAAUCGGGGCAGGGUGAGUCGACCCCUAAGGCGAGGCCGAAAGGCGUAGUCGAUGGGAAACAGGUUAAUAUUCCUGUACUUGGUGUUACUGCGAAGGGGGGACGGAGAAGGCUAUGUUGGCCGGGCGACGGUUGUCCCGGUUUAAGCGUGUAGGCUGGUUUUCCAGGCAAAUCCGGAAAAUCAAGGCUGAGGCGUGAUGACGAGGCACUACGGUGCUGAAGCAACAAAUGCCCUGCUUCCAGGAAAAGCCUCUAAGCAUCAGGUAACAUCAAAUCGUACCCCAAACCGACACAGGUGGUCAGGUAGAGAAUACCAAGGCGCUUGAGAGAACUCGGGUGAAGGAACUAGGCAAAAUGGUGCCGUAACUUCGGGAGAAGGCACGCUGAUAUGUAGGUGAAGUCCCUCGCGGAUGGAGCUGAAAUCAGUCGAAGAUACCAGCUGGCUGCAACUGUUUAUUAAAAACACAGCACUGUGCAAACACGAAAGUGGACGUAUACGGUGUGACGCCUGCCCGGUGCCGGAAGGUUAAUUGAUGGGGUCAGCGCAAGCGAAGCUCUUGAUCGAAGCCCCGGUAAACGGCGGCCGUAACUAUAACGGUCCUAAGGUAGCGAAAUUCCUUGUCGGGUAAGUUCCGACCUGCACGAAUGGCGUAAUGAUGGCCAGGCUGUCUCCACCCGAGACUCAGUGAAAUUGAACUCGCUGUGAAGAUGCAGUGUACCCGCGGCAAGACGGAAAGACCCCGUGAACCUUUACUAUAGCUUGACACUGAACAUUGAGCCUUGAUGUGUAGGAUAGGUGGGAGGCUUGGAAGUGUGGACGCCAGUCUGCAUGGAGCCGACCUUGAAAUACCACCCUUUAAUGUUUGAUGUUCUAACGUAGACCCGUGAUCCGGGUUGCGGACAGUGUCUGGUGGGUAGUUUGACUGGGGCGGUCUCCUCCUAAAGAGUAACGGAGGAGCACGAAGGUUGGCUAAUCCUGGUCGGACAUCAGGAGGUUAGUGCAAUGGCAUAAGCCAGCUUGACUGCGAGCGUGACGGCGCGAGCAGGUGCGAAAGCAGGUCAUAGUGAUCCGGUGGUUCUGAAUGGAAGGGCCAUCGCUCAACGGAUAAAAGGUACUCCGGGGAUAACAGGCUGAUACCGCCCAAGAGUUCAUAUCGACGGCGGUGUUUGGCACCUCGAUGUCGGCUCAUCACAUCCUGGGGCUGAAGUAGGUCCCAAGGGUAUGGCUGUUCGCCAUUUAAAGUGGUACGCGAGCUGGGUUUAGAACGUCGUGAGACAGUUCGGUCCCUAUCUGCCGUGGGCGCUGGAGAACUGAGGGGGGCUGCUCCUAGUACGAGAGGACCGGAGUGGACGCAUCACUGGUGUUCGGGUUGUCAUGCCAAUGGCACUGCCCGGUAGCUAAAUGCGGAAGAGAUAAGUGCUGAAAGCAUCUAAGCACGAAACUUGCCCCGAGAUGAGUUCUCCCUGACUCCUUGA